rnacentral:rRNA from 1 species
UUGGUGGAGCAAGUGGUUUAAUUCGAAGCAACGCGAAGAACCUUACCAACUCUUGACAUCCCCCUGACCGGUACAGAGAUGUACCUUCCCCUUCGGGGGCAGGGGUGACAGGUGGUGCAUGGUUGUCGUCAUCUCGUGUCGUGAGAUGUUGGGUUAAGUCCCGCAACGAGCGCAACCCUUGUCCUUAUUUGCCACCAUUCAGUUGGGCACUCUAAGGAGACUGCCGGUGACAAACCGGAGGAAGGUGGGGAUGACGUCAAAUCAUCAUGCCCCUUAUGAGUUGGGCUACACACGGUGCUACAAUGGAAA